rnacentral:rRNA from 1 species
GACGAACGCUGGCGGCGUGCCUAAUACAUGCAAGUUGAGCGCAGAGGGGAGGUGCUUGUACCAACUGGAUGAGCGGCGAACGGGUGAGUAACGCGUGGGGAAUCUGCCUUUGAGCGGGGGACAACAUUUGGAAACGAAUGCUAAUACCGCAUAAAAACUUUAAACACAAGGUUUAAGAGUGAAAGAUGGAUUUGCAGCAAUCAAAAGUGAGCUCGCGUUGGCUUAGCUAGUUGGGGAGGUUAAGGGUCACCAAGGCGAUGAUACAUUAGCGAACUGGAAGGGUGGUCCGCCCCCUUUGGACUGCGGCACCGCCCCAACCUCCUACGGAGGCAGCCGUAAGGGAUUCUUGCCAAAUGACCGAAAGCCUGACGCAGCAACCCCGCGUGGUUAAUGAGGUUCUUCGAUCGUUAAACCCCGUUUGUAGAGAAAAAACAUGUUGGGAGUUAAAUGCUCAUCACGUGACGGUACCUACUCAGAAAGCGACGGCUAACUACGUG